rnacentral:lncRNA from 1 species
CAACAAAUGUGGGCCAAUUGCUGUGAGUUAAUUGAAAAGGAUUGUUUUCUAGUUGCCAAGAAACGGCCUUUCUUACACUAUGCAGGCCAUUCUGUGCACAGAUGAAACUUCCUGAUUUGUCUUUUAGGGUUUAAGAAUAUAGGCUGCUGUGGUUUCCUUGCCCCUUGUGGAGAAGAGCACACAUCAAGGUUUUCAGGGGGGUUGUUGCAUUUCAGUUUACCAGGUACAGCUGCUGCUGCUGCUGCUGCUGCUGUUGCUGUUGUUGCUGUUGUUGCUGUUCAGGCCCCACACCUGUAUAUAUGAAGCAGACACUCAACGACCAAGCUAUACCCGCUCCACCUUAGAGGUUUUUUGUUGUUGGGUACCAGGGGAUAAAAGGUUUUUCCUCAUUCAAGAGAUGUGAGUCUCAAGUGAUCUGUAGCAGAUGGUGGAAAACUCAUCACUUGUAUUUCUGCUAGAAAGUUCCCUGCAGGCUGGAAGGUGAGUAGUAAUAUGUCAAUAGAUAGAUAAAUAAGAAUGUACAUGGAC